GGAAGCACCAGAAGGAUACAGUACGUUUCCUCUGAAGUCAAAAGAGAACAACAUCAACAGGAUUACUCACAGAAGUUGCUCUGCAACCUCUUAAGUUUGGGAAUCUGAUAAAUAUAAAGUGAUGACAGCUAUUUUUCUGAGGAAUGAUACUGUGUCCGGAAUUUAUUCCUUCCGGUGGGUUCUUGGUCUCACUGACUUCAAGAAUGAAGCCGCGGACCUCCACGGAUGGAACACCAGGCUAUAGUUUCAGGAAGCCAGACUUGACCUUGCAGAAAAUAGCAACCCCUUCAGAAUUGGUAAAGCAAUGAGAAAGAAUUGCUCAGAACUUCAUGGAGCUGAGCCAUUCACCCAUCCUGGAACAUCCACUUUCCUCAGGAAUUAUUUUUUUAAUGUUUUUUCCUUCUUGUUUAAUCCACUAA
rnacentral:lncRNA from 1 species